rnacentral:ncRNA from 7 species
ACUCUCUUAAGGUAGCCAAAUGCCU